UCUCUUUGUAAGCCCAACCCUCUGUUCUGCUGGAGUAGUGUAACUCAAUUCCCAGAUCCGCACUGAGCAGCAGUGAAGAACUCACUCCGCUCUUCAACUGAACUUGGAGCCAAAGUCUGUAGGGCACAAAACCCUUUUAGCAAGACUAUGGCUAAGAAAGGAUGUUUAGUCACAUCUCAAUUGCUUUGUGCAAAAAUGGCUCAUGUCUCAUCUGGCUAAUUCCCCGCCUGUGCCACGGAGGCUGUACUGGACUCUUUUUUCCCAUCAGUACAGGGAGCACUUCCACUCAGUUUCCCUCUGCAUGGGGUACCUCCUGUAUGCCAGGGCACUGGUGAUGCCAGGCAUGGCCAGGUGGAGAUUUCCUGUGGGAAUGCACAACACAUCAGUCACAGCAAACUGGAACAUGCUUUCUGAGACCCUGGGGUGCUCUUCCCAGCCUUUCCUUCCCACAUGCCAUAGGAGGACCUCAGUGCCAGUGCCACCUGAGCUAGGCAGGUGAAUAUGCAGGAUUGCUUGUGAGGCGGAGAAAAUGUCAGCCCGGCCCUAAAAGUGGCAAGCAGGCCAUGAAGGGGUUAACCCUUCUCCUGAAAUCCCACAUCCCUGGUUCUGCAGUAUCCUUCUGCCCCUGCCCCUGGGGACUUGCAUGUCUUUCUCCAUCUGUGUCUAUUCCUCCUUGUUCAGUGGGAGAGGCUGUGAAGGGGGAAAUUCAGGGUCAAUCUUGGGUGAGGGUUUUGCAGGGAGGCUGCUCCCUCAGCAGGCUUUGCUGCAGACAGAGGCUGUCACGGCUUGGGACGAAAAGCAGGGCCCAAGGCAGAUUUGCAUCAUAAGCGGUGGCUCAGCUGCUUCUGCCAAGCCCUGCAGGCUCCCAAGCCCUGGAACAUAUGCCCCACCCCUCCCCACAAAAACCUGGAGCUCAAGACAGAGGACAGUGCAGGUGCUCGCUGCCCAUGACUGACCAGAGCAACUGUGCAGAGUAUGGCCCCUGUGGUACCCCUGGAGUCCAGAGGAGUAGGAUUGGGUUUGUUCCCAGUAGCACUGCAGUAUCUCAUCCGGAUGUCGGUGGGUGAGAGGCGGAGGAGGCUGGUGAUGGAUAUUAUUAGAAUAGUAAUUAGGCCCCGGGAGCAGAGAUCCCAGGAAAGGAGGGAAUGGAAAUCAUCCACUGUUUUUGCGCUGGCUCGAAACCAUGAGAGUUUUGUGCUAUAAGGAAUUGCAGAAAAGACAGGAGGAAGGGGAAGGCUGUUAGACUUACAAAUCCAAGGAGACAGGUAGGGAUUCUUGGCAUUAAUGGAGAGCACUUUCUAAUAAGGCAGGAGGCUGUACUCAGAGAGCCACAGCAACCCACUGGGAGCAACUGAGUCUAAAAUGGUGCAGGGAUUUCUUGUUGGCCAUAAUAAUUGUGGAUCAUUGCAAAGGUCAGGGAUCAGGCCCUUCAGGCUUAUGGGUGGAUUUGUAGCUGACAGCGGGAUGCUUGUAUGCAUGCAUUUGUCCAUGUGGGAGGCUCCCCUCUAUCCAGUUGCCCAGAGAGAGGAUAGAAGAUGGAUUGUCUUGAGCAGUUUCUUUCUGGGGCAUAUUUGUGACUGGUACCACGGCCUGGUCCACUGUUGGCUAACAUGCAAAAAUCCUAGUGUGUUCACCCCAAUGCGUAACAGGCAGUUACCCACACAGGAAAGAUCACUCCACAGCCCCCUCAUUUCUCCUUCUCCUGACCGUUUUAACAAGAGAUCAAGUACUAGCUGGCCCUCAGUCAUGGAGCUACUAUUGGACCUCCCAUGUGCAGUCCCAUUGGGCCAAAAUUUAGGGCUAUAAGUGUUGUGGUGGCAACUCUUUCCAUUGCCUGUAGUGAUAUGAUUGCAGAAUGGGCCCUCCUUCUUAUGGAAUGGGACAAUCUUCUCCCUAAACCCAGUUUGCUUAUCUUGUGGUGACCCAUCUGUUAAAGUUUGAGAUCCUAUCUGUCUUCUUCUCAAUAGAGUGACAUUACAUCAGAUAUGGCCAAAUCUACCUCAGCCCUGUCUGCAUUGUGUUUUUUUCUCCAUUCUUUCCAAGCCAGGUCAUUAGCAAAAGUAAACUCAAAGUAUUUUGCAGACUUCCUGCAACCUGACAGUCUUGAAAAAUCCCUGUGCUUGCAUGAGAAACAUGUUGGUGACUUUGUAAAUCAAAAAGGGUGCUAGGUGCUGUGUGGUGAUGUUUACAUUUUGCAUAUAUGCAUACUGAGUAAGUGUUGCUAAAAUCUGUAUUUCUGAACUUGGGGAAAAAAAUAAAAACAGCAGCGAAAAGGGGAGAGGGUAAAGUCUUUUCUAAUCUUUGGAUUACAGGUUGGCUCAGCAGGUUACAUCUUUUUAAUUUCAAUUUUGGGGAGUAGCAUUGUAAGGAUCUGAGUUGUCUCGGUAUGUGUGUGACUACAGUUUUGGUGAGAGCCAUUUCAGUGAGCACAGCGAGUGACUUGAGGGGGGGGGUGUGGCGAGGGAGGGGUUGUGUGGGGGUGUGUGAGUGAAAACGUGUGGGUGCAUGUGCGCACACGGAUGUCUGUGUCUGGCUGCCCUCUCCUGGUAAAACCCGUAACUGACUGACAGUACUUACUGCACUGCUCGUACCCAGCGAUCGACGCCUUAAGGAAGCAGCCUUUGCACGAGUUCAUUGUGCGUCCCAGGCUCUGUGCUGCUGACAGCACCAUUAGCAGGAAGGACAGGCCAGAUUCUGACCUCUGACCUCUUUACACCUGAAGUAGCGCUUUUUAAGUCAAUUGUAUCACUCCUGAUGUUUGUUGGUCUAAAGGAAGACAGAAACCGUUUGUGUAUUUAUGUUCUUCGAGACUCCGUAACUCUGGCUUCAGCAUACAAAUAAAAGUGAUACUUAAUCCCCAAAAUAAUUUUUUACAUUUUUCGUACUUUGAAUGUAUAUAGAUAUAUAUUUUCCAUCUCUCUAACACUGAUGGGCAUUUCCCUGUUCCCAGUUCCCUUGGUUUUUUUGGAAUCAGCAUGGCAGUGACAGAUGCUGUUGUUCACUGAUUAAUACUGAAUGUUGCCAUGCCCAAAUACAAAUGAAUGUUCACUGUAUGCUGCGACUUUCUUAUAAAGCCAUACUUUUGUAAUAUUUAGGGGAAAAAAAUCUGCCCUAUAAUUGUGUUUGUACAUUACUUGCUGCAUGAUUAAAGAUAAAAAGAUUGUAAUGUGCUGGAAUAAAGCAUAUAUACAUAGUCUGAUAAUUAGGUAUAUUAGCUGUGAAAAUCAUUUAAUCUGACUGUAUUACUAUAAUAAACUUGCAAUAUAAAAUUGA